rnacentral:tRNA from 1 species
UAGCUCAGCUGGGAGAGCAUCUGCCUUACAAGCAGAGGGUCGGCGGUUCGAACCC